rnacentral:rRNA from 1 species
AUUGAACGCUGGCGGCAGGCCUAACACAUGCAAGUCGAACGAGUGGCGGACGGGUGAGUAAUGUCUGGGAAACUGCCUGAUGGAGGGGGAUAACUACUGGAAACGGUAGAUAAUACCGCAUACCAUCGGAUGUGCCCAGAUGGGAUUAGCUGGUAGGUGGGGUAAAGGCUCACCUAUGCGACGAUCCCUAGCUGGUCUGAGCGGAUGACCAGCCACCCUGGAACUUAGCCACGGUCCAUACUCCUACGGGAGGCAGCAGUGGGGAAUAUUGCACAAUGGGCGCAAUCCUGAUGCAGCCAUGCCGCUUGUAUGAAGAAGGCCUUCGGGUUGUAAAGUACUUUCAGCGGGGAGGCGUUACCCGCAGAAGAAGCACCGGCUAACUCCGUGCCAGCAGCCGCGGUAAUUC